rnacentral:lncRNA from 1 species
GGGGUGGUGACUGGGUCCAGAAUGGCUUCGGAUUCGGGGAACCAGGGGACCCUCUGCACGCGAUCAUCGGUUGGUCCCUGCCGCCCUUGCAGUUGGAGUUCGCGGUGCAGAUGACCUGUCAGAGCUGUGUGGACGCGGUGCGCAAAUCCCUGCAAGGGGUGGCAGGUGUCCAGGAUGUGGAGGUGCACUUGGAGGACCAGAUGGUCUUGGUACACACCACUCUACCCAGCCAGGAGGUGCAGGCUCUCCUGGAAGGCACGGGGCGGCAGGCGGUACUCAAGGGCAUGGGCAGCGGCCAGUUGCGUGAGUGACCACUGUGGCCUUGGCCCCUCUCGGAGGGAGGUGGCUCAGAGCUGGUACAAAUCUAAUCAUAGGAUUCUCAGGCUCUGGGUUGGAGUGGCUUUGAGGAAGGUGUGAAAAUUAUGUGAGACUCCCUGCCCUUCCCGAGCUGCUGAAGAGGUGUGCUGGGUGAGGUGGCAAGCCAGCCCAAGUGUCUAAUACCUUGCAGAGAAUCUGGGGGCAGCAGUGGCCAUCCUGGGGGGGCCUGGCACCGUGCAGGGGGUGGUGCGCUUCCUACAGCUGACCCCUGAGCGCUGCCUCAUCGAGGGAACUAUUGACGGCCUGGAGCCUGGGCUGCAUGGACUCCACGUCCAUCAGUACG